GUUAAAAGCUAGGGCUAGGACUUGGAGGAUGUGUAGGCAAACGGAAGGAGAGCCGGGGGAAGAAAAACCGAAAUGGAUUCAUUCUCCGUCCUGGAUGGAGGAGGAGAGGAGAGGAGAAGGGGACGUGCGAGCUUCCUUCAGCUGCCUCUGUCCGGUGAAAAGUGCUCGAAGCCCCGGGGCUGCCUCGGGCUCAGGAGUCCGCGCGGACUUUCGCUGUAAGCUGCCAAUCAAACUGCUAACUAGCCACCACCCUGCUCUGGCACGGACAU
ensembl:misc_RNA